CAGUCAGGCUCCUGGCUAAAAUCCAGCUCUUAGCUGGUUUUAGGCCAAGCUUGUCUGUUA
ensembl:miRNA